rnacentral:rRNA from 1 species
UGGGGAAUAUUGCACAAUGGGCGCAAGCCUGAUGCAGCGACGCCGCGUGGGGGAUGACGGCCUUCGGGUUGUAAACCUCUUUCAGUAGGGACGAAGCGCAAGUGACGGUACCUACAGAAGAAGCACCGGCCAACUACGUGCCAGCAGCCGCGGUAAUACGUAGGGUGCGAGCGUUGUCCGGAAUUACUGGGCGUAAAGAGCUCGUAGGUGGUUUGUCGCGUUGUUCGUGAAAACCGGAGGCUUAACCUUCGGCGUGCGGGCGAUACGGGCAGACUGGAGUACUGCAGGGGAGACUGGAAUUCCUGGUGUAGCGGUGGAAUGCGCAGAUAUCAGGAGGAACACCGGUGGCGAAGGCGGGUCUCUGGGCAGUAACUGACGCUGAGGAGCGAAAGCGUGGGGAGCGAACAGGAUUAGAUACCCUGGUAGUCCACGCCGUAAACGGUGGUACUAGGUGUGGGUUUCCUUCCGUUGGGAUCCGUGCCGUAGCUAACGCAUUAA